CCCAGACUCCUACGGGAGGCAGCAGUGGGGGAUAUUGCACAAUGGGGGGAACCCUGAUGCAGCGACGCCGCGUGGGUGAAGAAGCGCCUCGGCGCGUAAAGCCCUGUCAGCAGGGAAGAAAAUGACGGUACCUGAAGAAGAAGCCCCGGCUAACUACGUGCCAGCAGCCGCGGUAAUACGUAGGGAGCGAGCGUUGUCCGGAAUUACUGGGUGUAAAGGGAGCGUAGGCGGGGAUGCAAGUUGGGUGUCAAAACUACCGGCUCAACUGGUAGUCGCACUCAAAACUGCAGCUCUUGAGUGAAGUAGAGGCAGGCGGAAUUCCUAGUGUAGCGGUGAAAUGCGUAGAUAUUAGGAGGAACACCGGUGGCGAAGGCGGCCUGCUGGACUGUAACUGACGUUGAGGCUCGAAAGCGUGGGGAGCAAACAGGAUUAGAUACCCCCGUAA
rnacentral:rRNA from 1 species